CCUACGGGUGGCAGCAGUGAGGAAUAUUGGUCAAUGGGCGCAAGCCUGAACCAGCCAAGUCGCGUGAGGGAAGACGGCCCUACGGGUUGUAAACCUCUUUUGCCGGGGAGCAAGCCUGAGCACGUGUGCCCAGGCGGAGAGUACCCGGAGAAAAAGCAUCGGCUAACGCCGUGCCAGCAGCCGCGGUAAUCCGGGGGAUGCGAGGGUUAUCCGGAGUUUUUGGGUUGAAGGGGGGCGCAGGCGGGCGGUUAAGCCGCCGGUAAAAAUUCGGGGCGCAACCCGGGCGAGACGUGGGAACUGGCAGGCGUGAGUGGGCGAGAGGUAUGGGGGAGGGGUGGUGGAGCGGUG
rnacentral:rRNA from 1 species